GGGCCGUUAGCUCAAUUGGUAGAGCAGCUGACUCUUAAUCAGGAGGUUGAAGGUUCGAUUCCUUCACGGCCCA
rnacentral:tRNA from 1 species